AGAGUUUGAUCCUGGCUCAGGAUCAACGCUGGCGGCGUGCCUAACGCAUGUAAGUCGCACGCAAGCACUUCGGUGCUUGAGUGGCGAACGGCUGAGGAACACGUACGAACCUGCCCGUUCGUGGGGAAUAACGCGCCGAAAGGUGUGCUAAUACCGCGUACGCUCACGCGAGUGAGGAAAGCCUUCGGGCGCGGACGGAGGGGCGUGCGGCCCAUCAGGUGGUUGGCGGGGUAAUGGCCCACCAAGCCGUUGACGGGUAGCUGGUCUGUGAGGACGAUCAGCCAGACUGGGACUGAGAAACGGCCCAGACACCUACGGGUGGCAGCAGCGAGGAAUCUUCUACAAUGGGCGCAAGCCCGAUAGAGCAACGCCGCGUGGAGGACGACGGCCUUCGGGUUGUAAACUCCUUUCAGGGGGGAUGAUACGGACAGUACCCCCAGAAGCAGCCCCGGCUAACUCUGUGCCAGCAGCCGCGGUAAGACAGAGGGGGCAAGCGUUGUCCGGAUUUACUGGGCGUACAGCGCGCGCAGGCGGCCGAGAAGGUGCCGUGUGACAGCUGGGGGCUUAACCUCCAGUGGCCACGGUAGACCGGUGGGCUGGAGGCAGGGAGAGGGUUGUGGAAUACCCGGUGGAGCGGUGAAAUGCGUAGAGAUCGGGUGGAACACCAGGGGCGCAGGCGGCAACCUGGCCCUGACCUGACGCUGAGGCGCGAGAGCGUGGGGAGCGAACCGGAUUAGAUACCCCGGUAGUCC
rnacentral:rRNA from 1 species